rnacentral:rRNA from 1 species
GACGAACGCUGGCGGCGUGCCUAAUACAUGCAAGUAGAACGCUGAAGGAGGAGCUUGCUUCUCUGGAUGGGUUGCGAACGGGUGAGUAACGCGUAGGUAACCUGCCUGGUAGCGGGGGAUAACUAUUGGAAACGAUAGCUAAUACCGCAUAAUAGCAGUUGUUGCAUGACAACUGUUUGAAAGGUGCAAUUGCACCACUACCAGAUGGACCUGCGUUGUAUUAGCUAGUUGGUGGGGUAACGGCUCACCAAGGCGACGAUACAUAGCCGACCUGAGAGGGUGAUCGGCCACACUGGGACUGAGACACGGCCCAGACUCCUACGGGAGGCAGCAGUAGGGAAUCUUCGGCAAUGGACGGAAGUCUGACCGAGCAACGCCGCGUGAGUGAAGAAGGUUUUCGGAUCGUAAAGCUCUGUUGUAAGAGAAGAACGAGUGUGAGAGUGGAAAGUUCACACUGUGACGGUAUCUUACCAGAAAGGGACGGCUAACUACGUG